rnacentral:rRNA from 1 species
UACGUAGGUGGCAAGCGUUGUUCGGAAUUAUUGGGCGUAAAGGGCGCGUAGGCGGUUUGUUAAGUCAGCUGUGAAAGCCCGGGGCUCAACCCCGGAGGGUCAGUUGAUACUGGCAGACUAGAGUACAGAAGAGGUAACUGGAAUUCCCGGUGUAGCGGUGAAAUGCGUAGAUAUCUGGAGGAAUACCGAUGGCGAAGGCAGGUCUCUGGGCUAUAACUGACGCUCAUGCACGAAAGCGUGGGGAGCAAACAGG